AUGGCUGUCCUGGUGCUAGUCCUCUGCCUGGUGACAUAUCCAAGUUGUACAGCUGAAGGAGUCAGGACCUGGUCUAGUGCAGCCAUCACAGACUCUGUCACUCACCUGAACUUUUCUGGCUUCUCAUUAACCAGCUAUGGUAUAAGUUGGAUCCGCAAACCUACAGGAAAGGGUCUGGAGUGGAUGGGAGCAAUAUCGGGUGGUGGAAGCUCAGAGUAUAAGUCAGCUCUCCAGUCCCGAAUCACCAUCACCAGGGAUAUGUCCAAGAGCCAAAUUUUCUUAAAACUGAACAGUCUGCAAACUGAGGACACAGCCAUGUAUUUCUGUGCCAGAGACACAGUGAGAGAACUCUAG